rnacentral:lncRNA from 1 species
AUACCUUUUCUUUAUUUGCGAUUUUCGUUAUAUUGUUUGCAUUGAAUAAGAGUUUUCGGUCGUGUGUGUCAACAUUAUUUCGUAUGAUAAUUCAUCAAAACCUUUUUCUAACGAAAGAUAUCUAAUAUCCAAAAAUAUCGUUUCUUCGAAAUUGCUCAGACUUAUGGUUUCGGAUAAAAGAUCAUCUAGUAUAUGUAUUUUUCUGUGGCGUUUAUCACCACUUUACAUUCAGUGCGUAAUAACCGAAGAGGCAGUCGGCUGGAUUGGUCGCAUGGAAAUGCUUCAGAUUUUUACUCUGGAAGACCGGAGUUCGAUUCUCUGGUCCCAUCCCUAAAAAAUUACUUAUCGUGGUCUAUCCUCGUCUUCCACCAUCAGGCUGAACCUUCAAAAGGUAGGCAGCCUGUGGAAGGGUUUGUUUCGUCCCGCCAUUUUUCACUCAGAGUGCUAUCUUGACAAAAAACUGACGGUAUUUCUGUAUCCACCACGGAUAUAGAACGGAUCGGACUGAAUGAGCCGAACCUAGAUUCUCUGGAAAACCGUUUCGAGGUAUUAGAUUCACUUUGGAGGGUCUAGAUUCAAUUCCCGAAAGUACAGCACUCUUCCACUGCAGCCCGACUGUAAAGAGUAUAUUUCUAUAAUUAUGAUUUUCUUCAUUUGUAAGGUCACAAAAUAUUCUAGCGCAGGGCCUCCAAAAUUAUAAGUACGGUACUAAAAGGGUAAAGUAUUAGGUACUAAUAACCUAAUACUUGAAUGUAUUAUUAUUAUAUAGAUGACGGAAUAUUUGGCGGUGUGAUUUUUUUUUCUAUGAGUAGAAAACAUUUUUGUUAGACGAACGGAUUAUAAAUAAUAAUUGAUGGUUAAUUAAUCUUUUAAGAAAAAGAAGAAUAACUGGAGAGCCCAGCACGAGUCGUUCCUGG